GCCAAUGGGAUUUUUCAUUCUGCAUGUGAGCUGGCUGUCGUGUGUACACAAAAGGUUUCGACUUAAUCCAUCUGGUUUCCAAGUCAAUUAACAGCUGGUCAACUAUACUAUUAGGCUGUCGAAUAAAAAACAACUGCCAUUUUUGAGUGGAUUAUGUUACGCCUCUCUUUGGAAUUACACUGGCCUAUUUUAACGCGCUGAAAUUAUUUGACUCAACAGUUUACAGUUGAAGAGUUUGUUAUCCAAGGAGUCGAAUGGCCUCUAGUGUGAACGUGAAGACGGAGAAGCGCCCGGCUCCCAACCCAGAGGAUGGCCACACGAACCCUAAGAAGGCCAGGUACCCUCACAACAUGAAGCUGUUGCCCAGCCUGAAGACGAAGCGGGCGCGGGAGUUGGUGCUGGUGAUCGGCACAGGCGUGAGUUCGGCGGUGGCACCAGAGGUGCCCGCGCUGCGCUCCUGGAAGGGCCUGAUCCAGGCGCUGCUGGACGCCGCCAACGAAUUCGACCUGCUGGAGGAGGAGGAAAGCCGGCGCUUCCAGAAGAGUCUGCAGGAGGACAAGAACCUGGUGCACGUAGCCCACGACCUCAUCCAGAAGCUGUCACCGCGGACCGGUAACGUGCGCUCCACGUUCUUCAAGGAUUGCCUGUACGAGGUGUUCGACAGCCUGGAGAGCAAGAUGGAGCACUCGGGGAAGCACCUGCUGCGCUCCGUGCUGCAGCUGAUGGAAAACGGCGCGCUCGUGCUCACCACCAACUUCGACAACCUGCUGGAGAUCUACGCCGCCCACCAGGGCACGCGGCUCGAGUCCCUCGACCUCACCGACGAGAAGCAGGUCCUGGAAUGGGCUCAGGAAAAGAGGAACCUGAGUGUGUUGCACAUUCACGGCGUGUACACAAACCCCAGUGGGAUCGUGCUGCACCCAGCAGGCUACCAGAACGUCCUGAGGAACACUGAAGUCAUGAGAGAGAUCCAGAAGCUGUACGAGACCAAGUCGUUUGUGUUCCUGGGCUGCGGGCGGACGGUGGACGACACCACGUUCCAGGCUCUCUUCCUGGAGGCGGUGAAGCACAAGUCGGACCUGGAGCACUUCAUGCUGGUGCGCCGCGAGGACGUGGGCGAGUUCAAGAAGCUGCGCGACAACAUGCUCGACAAGGGCAUCAAGGUCAUCUCCUACGGCAACGACUUCACCGACCUGCCCGACUACUUCGAGCGGCUGGCCAAUGAGAUCUGCAACCACGCCUCGGAGACCAAUGGCUGGGCGUCUCCCUACAACGAGGAGGAAACCCAAAAUGGCUUCAGCUCACAGAAGAACCUCCUGCAAGGUUAGGGUUCCAGCCUGUCUGGCGUUGCCAUGGCACCUCGCAUGCACAUGGCCUCUCCACCCAAAGGACCUGCUGUUGCAUGACUACAACCACUCUUGACAGGCGCAGGAGUAGGGAGUCUCAGGUCUUUCCCUCCGCAGUGUCCCCGUAGAAUAGCAGUUCUUCCUCUUCCUGUUCCUCUUCCCCAGGUCUACCCUCCGUGGAUUGACAGUGGAAGAAAGCCCCCCCCCCCCAUCCCGUAAUAUCCUAAUUCCUUGCCC